rnacentral:rRNA from 1 species
CCAGCAGCCGCGGUAAUUCCAGCUCCAGUAGCGUAUAUUAAAGUUGUUGCAGUUAAAAAGCUCGUAGUUGGAUUUCUGGUUGACGGCGUAUGGUCCGGCGUCCUCAGGAUGCUGUGUACCGUCGUGUGUCUGCCAUCCUUCCAGAGAGUUGUGCCUACCGGCUCGUCCGGCAGGGCGCUGCGAUCUGGAUCUUUUACUUUGAAAAAAUUAGAGUGUUCCAAGCAAGCUUACGCUUUGAAUACAUUAGCAUGGAAUAAUAAUAUAGGACUUUUGUCUUAUUUUGUUGGUUUCUAAGAUGGAAGUAAUGAUUGAUAGGGAUAGUUGGGGGUGCUAGUAUUCAGCGGCCAGAGGUGAAAUUCUUGGAUUCGCUGAAGACUAACUACUGCGAAAGCAUUCACCAAGGAUGUCUUCUUUAAUCAAGAACGAAAGU